UUAACCCACUGUUCUCUGGUAGGCCGUCAUUGUAAAUAACAAUUUGUUCUUAACUGAAUUGCCUAGUUAAAUAAAGGUAAAAUAAUACAUGUAAAACUAGUCUAGCAUAAGUAGGCACAUUGAAUGUAUAUUGUCAAUACAUUAGUUUUCAGUUAACCCCCAAAAAUGCUCCCAGGUCGUUGUUGCAAAUAAGAUUUGGGUCUUGUCCACUUCCCAGGUAAAAAUUUUGGAAACAAAUUCAAUGCUGUGAAUUACAGUACAAAUUGCAGUAACAAGAAAAACAGGCUACAAUAGCAGCUAGUUCAUGUCUAGUGCUACUUGAUGCUUAGAGAAGAUGGGCAAUAAUACUAAUGAGCUUUUUUGGUAUUCAAAUACUCUGGGUCAGUCUUUAGAUUUGCAAGCUACACCCACCUGAUGGCCUUCUGGCACUUGAUUGAGCGGGCAGCAGAGACCAAGUUAAUAAGAGUCACAAGCACCAAUCCAUCUGAAACAAGUGUUACUUGAAGAAAACCAACACUGCCAUCAAUCGACGAGUUCUUCUUGUUUAUGACUCAUCUGUCGCUGGGUCUGAAGCAGAAGGAUUUGGCCCAUCGGUUCAGUCUCCACCAAUCGACAGUGAUCUCUUGGGCCAACUUCCUCUACUGUCUGCUUGGAUCAACACGGAUAUGGGUCCCCAAGGAAACCAUCAAAGCCCACCUGAGUUCAAGGACUAUCCAGACACCCAGGUAGUGAUCGACUGCACUGAACUCCGCUGCCAGACACCAUCUUCACUACUACUGCAGAGUGAGGCAUUUUCUUCCUACAAGACACACUGUACCUUUAAGGGCAUGUUGGGAAUGUCACCACAUGGAGCUGUCACUUGUGUCAUCGUUGUAUGCUGGAUCUGUGAGUGACAAGGAGAUCUUCAAGCAGUCUGGAAUAAUUUCCUUACUCACCCCUGACAUGGCCAUUAAAAAUUUAAUUAAAUCAAAUGUUAUUGGUCACAUACAGUACACACAUGUUAAUGCGAGUGUAGUGAAAUGCUUGUGCUUCUAGUUCCGACAGUGCAGUAAUGUCACAAUCGUCUAAAGGAGUAGACCAAGGCACAGCGUACUUAGAGUUCCAUAUGUUUAAUAAAUAUGAAACUCACCAAAACAAUACAGACAAAAACGAAGCGUGACGUUCUGGGCUGCUCACAGGCAGCUACACAAACAAAAGAUAGAAAAAGGAACAUAGAACGCCCACCCUAGUCACACCCUGGCCUAACCAAAAUAAAGAACAAAACCCCCUCUAUGGCCAGGGCGUGACAAGUAAUAUCUAACAAGUAAUCUAACAAAUUCACAACAACUAACUUAUUCACACAAAUGUAAAGGGAUGAAUAAGAAUACGUACAUAUAAAUAUAUGGAUGAGCGAUGGCCGUGUGGUAGAUAAGGGCUUUUUCAUAAAUGACAUUGUUCCGUGCAAAGUCAACAGGCCAGCCUUUGAAGACGCACACAGAUGCCAGCGCAUGAGGUUAGGGAGACACAAUCCAUUGCCAAGCUGAGAGUGCAUGGUGAAAGAAUGAGCCGCAGAGUAAAGGAGCAUAAGUUGUUUGACAGUCAUCCCCCUGACCAUCUCAUGCAGCAUCAACCAAUUAUUUGCAGUGGCGUGCCUGUUGGUCGACUAUCAAAAUGAACCUUUGCUCAUAGCAUGGGCCAAGCCAGUGUAAAUGUACAUGUGUUUAUUUGCUAGCAGCAAAAUAAUAAUUUGUUUAUCUUUGACAUGUAUUAAUCAUUUGUGUUGCAGUGAAUAUCAGUUUGUGUGGAGCUUGUAUUGUUUUUAAUUAGGCAAUGAGUUUAGGGGUGGGGGAAAGAAAUCAAGUAAACACAGAAUAGCCAGAAUGCAAGAUUGAAUACAAUGUUAGAGAUGUGUAAUUGAUUAACUGAGCUGUUGAACAUUUGCUGAAAUACAUUUUUUUAACAAA